CAUUUCUCUCUUUAAAACCUAAAAAUUCCCUAGAAAUUUCUUCUUCACUUUCACCAAAAAUCAAUUCCCCUCCCCCAAAUCAUUUCAUAUUCCCACUCACUCUCACAAAAAAAAAAAAAAUCAAUUUCCCCCACUUUAAUUUUUCUCUCCAAAAUCUCGUCCAAUGCAUUCACUCUGUUUGAAUACGACCAGUUCACGACUGCACCGACCAAAGAUGAUUGUGCUCCUGUUUAAAUCCCGACAUCAAUUUGGUAGGUAAUCAAUCAUAAAUCUCUAAUUUUAAUUGUUGCGCUCCUUGUUUUCUUUCUAAUUGUUGGUGGAUUUGUGUGCAAUUUUUGUUUUGAGGUGCACUGUAGUGUAGGUACACUAGGUCAUCUGUGGUGGCAAACCCUAAAGACGACGUCACAUCCUCUGCUCCACCGGACUCCGGUGACCUCACCGGACACCUUAUCCGACCUGUGCUCCGACCAAGACUAAGGGAAAAGAAGGAAGGGAACACUACUAGAUACAUCACUAGAUCGCAAGUUGUUAAAGUAUCUUCAUGUAAGUUUAUCCAUUUUCAGGUAGUUAUUUUAAAUCAAUCUUUUGAGACAGAUGGUUAGGUUUAAUACCGUGAAACCGCCCAAGCCCCUCAUCAGUUUGGUUUAACUGUCGGUUUUUUCUUUAACUUUCGGUCGAUUAGUUUCAAAAAUUUCAAACCGUAGUGAAUGGUUUGAUUUGCGGUGUAUAAUGAAAACUGACCGUGUAAAACCAGACCAUGAUAUAUGUAUUUAUAGAAUACAUGUUUUGAUUGGGUAUGCUA